rnacentral:rRNA from 1 species
GGCGAGGGGAGUGAAAAAGAACCUGAAACCGUGUACGUACAAGCAGUGGGAGCACAGGUUUACCUGUGUGACUGCGUACCUUUUGUAUAAUGGGUCAGCGACUUAUAUUCUGUAGCAAGGUUAACCGUAUAGGGGAGCCGUAGGGAAACCGAGUCUUAACCGGGCGUUAAGUUGCAGGGUAUAGACCCGAAACCCGGUGAUCUAGCCAUGGGCAGGUUGAAGGUUGGGUAACACUAACUGGAGGACCGAACCGACUAAUGUUGAAAAAUUAGCGGAUGACCUGUGGCUGGGGGUGAAAGGCCAAUCAAACCGGGAGAUAGCUGGUUCUCCCCGAAAGCUAUUUAGGUAGCGCCUCGUGAACUCAUCUCCGGGGGUAGAGCACUGUUUCGGCUAGGGGGCCAUCCCGGCUUACCAACCCGAUGCAAACUGCGAAUACCGGAGAAUGUUAUCACGGGAGACACACGGCGGGUGCUAACGUCCGUCGUGAAGAGGGAAACAACCCAGACCGCCAGCUAAGGUCCCAAAGUCAUGGUUAAGUGGGAAACGAUGUGGGAAGGCCCAGACAGCCAGGAUGUUGGCUUAGAAGCAGCCAUCAUUUAAAGAAAGCGUAAUAGCUCACUGGUCGAGUCGGCCUGCGCGGAAGAUGUAACGGGGCUAAACCAUGCACCGAAGCUGCGGCAGCGACACUGAUGUGUUGUUGGGUAGGGGAGCGUUCUGUAAGCCUGUGAAGGUGGCCUGUGAGGGUUGCUGGAGGUAUCAGAAGUGCGAAUGCUGACAUAAGUAACGAUAAAGCGGGUGAAAAGCCCGCUCGCCGGAAGACCAAGGGUUCCUGUCCAACGUUAAUCGGGGCAGG